rnacentral:rRNA from 1 species
AGCGAACGUUAGCGGCGCGCCUAACACAUGCAAGUCGCACGAGAAAGGGAGCAAUCCCCGGUACAGUGGCGCACGGGUGAGUAACACGUAGAUGACCUUCCCUGGAGUGGUGGAUAACCUGCCGAAAGGCGGGCUAAUACAGCAUGGGACCACAUGGUUUUGACCGAGUGGUGAAAGCGGGCCUCUGUUCACAAGCUCGCGCUCUGGGAUGGGUCUGCGUCCCAUCAGCUAGUUGGUGAGGUAAUGGCUCACCAAGGCAUCGACGGGUAGCUGGUCUGAGAGGAUGAUCAGCCACACUGGAACUGAGACACGGUCCAGACUCCUACGGGAGGCAGCAGUGGGGAAUAUUGCGCAAUGGGCGAAAGCCUGACGCAGCCACGCCGCGUGAGCGAUGAAGGCCU